rnacentral:rRNA from 1 species
UUCGUCUUCGACCUGAGAUCAGACGAGACUACCCGCUGAACUUAAGCAUAU